rnacentral:lncRNA from 1 species
CGGCCGCUGAACCCGAGGAUGUGCAUUCGAUUGUUCGAGAUCUGAACAGUCUGGCCCUCACCUUCCCGGCCUUUUGUGCUGGGACAAGGCCAGUCAGUGCUGUGAGCUCCUGCCAGGGGUGACUUGGUUUAAUCAAACCACUGUGUGCCUGGGGGAGCUCCCCGCCUGCCCCGAUUAUACGUGCAUCCCCCCUGCGCUGCUUCGCACCCCCCCAGUCACAUUCAUCCGAUUUCGUUACAUUUCAGAGCACAACACAGGAGGGUCGGAUGCAAACCGCGCAGCUUCUGUCUCGGAGAACAUCGAGUCCACGCACGGCAGCUGCUCCGGCCCCGCUUGGCCUUGGGCUGAAGGCACCGUGUGGUUUUGGGUCUGGUGUGGUGGGAGCAGGAGGGCCCGGUCACCUCCCCUUCCUGCUUCCAGCUCUGUCCGUUCCCAGUUGGUGCCACUGCCCAGCCUCCCCCGGUCACUGCCCUCUGACCUGUGGGGUGGCCUCCCAGGCACAUUCUCCAGAGGUGGGGCCUUCUCAGCACUUCGAAGGGCCAGCUUGGUCACUUUACGUAUCUCCAGAAAGACUCCAGGCGCCGGUAACAGCCACCCCCCAGACGAGACGUGCCUGCAGACGAAGCCAAACCUCCCCAGAAACAGAAAAUGCCCUGGGCUGAGACCCAUCAGGGAGGCGGUGGGGGAGAAGCAGAGCUUCAGGGCUGUGGCCACUUUAAUGGAAUCUGUCUGUCAUGAUAAGGAAGUGGAGAGUCUCUCAGCGCUCUACAGGCAAGCUUGGGGCUCGAGCCAUGGGUUUUCUGCUGUCAACUCUGUGCUGAAACAAUGGCCUGAGGACUACGGCCUGAGUCGCAUCUUCACCACAGGCUGAAUAUUUUGUAGGUACUUAUUGUCUGUAGAAUGGCUUCCUGGUACCAUAACCUAGGGACAAAGGAAACGCUUGGACCGCCC